UUUCCGUAGGUGAACCUGCGGAAGGAUCAUUAUUGUAUAACCGAGGUGCGAGGGCUGUCGCUGACCCGAAAGGUCGUGCACACCCGAGUGCCCUCACACACAUCCAUCUCACCCCUAUGUGCACCGACGCGUGGGUCCCCCUUUGGCUUGUUCGGAGGGGGGCUUACGUUUUCACACAAACUUUGUAUGCAGUGUAGAAUGUAUUUUUUGUUUUUGCGAUCACGCAAUCAAUACAACUUUCAACAACGGAUCUCUUGGCUCUC
rnacentral:misc_RNA from 1 species